rnacentral:rRNA from 1 species
UACACGACCGUACCGCAAACCGACACUGGUGCGCGAGAUGAGUAUUCUAAGGCGCUUGAGAGAACUCAGGAGAAGGAACUCGGCAAAUUGACACCGUAACUUCGGAAGAAGGUGUGCCUUUAGUAGGUGAAGUCCCUCGCGGAUGGAGCCCAAUGAGGUUGCAAAGAAUCGGUGGCUGCGACUGUUUAUUAAAAACACAGCACUCUGCAAACACGAAAGUGGACGUAUAGGGUGUGACGCCUGCCCGGUGCUGGAAGAUUAAAUGAUGGGGUGCAAGCUCUUGAUUGAAGUCCCAGUAAACGGCGGCCGUAACUAUAACGGUCCUAAGGUAGCGAAAUUCCUUGUCGGGUAAGUUCCGACCUGCACGAAUGGCGUAACGAUGGCCACACUGUCUCCUCCUGAGACUCAGCGAAGUUGAAAUGUUUGUGAUGAUGCAAUCUCCCCGCGGAAAGACGGAAAGACCCCAUGAACCUUUACUGUAGCUUUGUAUUGGACUUUGAACAGAUCUGUGUAGGAUAGGUGGGAGGCUUUGAAGCAGGGUCGCUAGAUCUUGUGGAGCCAACGUUGAAAUACCACCCUGGUGUGUUUGAGGUUCUAACCUAGGCCCGUAAUCCGGGUUGGGGACAGUGCAUGGUAGGCAGUUUGACUGGGGCGGUCUCCUCCCAAAGUGUAACGGAGGAGUUCGAAGGUACGCUAGUUACGGUCGGACAUCGUGACGAUAGUGCAAUGGCAUAAGCGUGCUUAACUGCGAGACUGACAAGUCGAGCAGAUGCGAAAGCAGGACAUAGUGAUCCGGUGGUUCUGUAUGGAAGGGCCAUCGCUCAACGGAUAAAAGGUACUCUGGGGAUAACAGGCUGAUACCGCCCAAGAGUUCAUAUCGACGGCGGUGUUUGGCACCUCGAUGUCGGCUCAUCUCAUCCUGGGGCUGUAGCCGGUCCCAAGGGUAUGGCUGUUCGCCAUUUAAAGAGGUACGUGAGCUGGGUUUAAAACGUCGUGAGACAGUUUGGUCCCUAUCUUCCGUGGGCGCUGCAGAUUUGAGGAAGCCUGCUCCUAGUACGAGAGGACCGGAGUGGACGCACCUCUGGUGUAUCGGUUGUCACGCCAGUGGCAUUGCCGAGUAGCUAUGUGCGGAAGAGAUAACCGCUGAAAGCAUCUAAGCGGGAAACUCGUUUCAAGAUGAGAUCUGCCGGGGCCUUGAGCCCCCUGAAGAGUCGUUCAAGACCAGGACGUUGAUAGGUCGGGUGUGGAAGCGCAGUAAUGCGUUAAGCUAACCGAUACUAAUUGCUCGUGCGGCUUGACCCC